GGCCGUCUAGCUCAGUUGGUUAGAGCGUCGUGCUAAUAUUAUCCAUGGGUUCUUUGAUACGCGAAGGUCUUGGGUUCGACCCCCACGAUGGCCA